rnacentral:rRNA from 1 species
CCUACGGGGGGCAGCAGUGGGGAAUAUUGCGCAAUGGGCGAAAGCCUGACGCAGCGACGCCGCGUGAGGGAUGAAGGUCUUCGGAUCGUAAACCUCUGUCAGCAGGGAAGAAAGGUCACUGUGCUAAUCAGCAGUGAAUUGACGGUACCUGCAAAGGAAGCACCGGCUAACUCCGUGCGAGCAGCCGCGGGAAUACGGAGGGGGGGAGCGUGAAUCGGAAGUACUGGGCGUAAAGCGCUCGUAGGCGGUAUGUCAAGGCAAGCGUGAAAUCCCCGCUGUCAACGUGGUAACUGCCUUUGAAACUGGCAUCCUUGAGUGUGUGAGAGGCUAGUGGAAUUCCAGGUGUAGCAGU